UACGGAGGGGGCUAGCGUUGUUCGGAAUUACUGGGCGUAAAGCGCACGUAGGCGGCUUUGUAAGUUAGAGGUGAAAGCCCGGAGCUCAACUCCGGAAUUGCCUUUAAGACUGCAUCGCUAGAAUUGUGGAGAGGUAAGUGGAAUUCCGAGUAUAGAGGUGAAAUUCGUAGAUAUUCGGAAGAACACCAGUGGCGAAGGCGACUUACUGGACACAUAUUGACGCUGAGGUGCGAAAGCGUGGGGAGCAAACAGG
rnacentral:rRNA from 1 species